GGGACUGCUGGCGCCCGCCACUACGCUCGGCUAAUUUUUUUGUGUUUUUAGUAGAGACGGGCUUUCACCGUGUUGGCCUAGCGGUUCUCCAACUCCUGACCUCAUGAUCCCCCCGCCUCAGCCUCCCAAAGUGCUGGGAUUACAAGCGUGAGCCACCGCGACCCGCCAACACUCUUGACAACAGUGCUGUGCUAAGAACUUGGGGGACUUCAAAAAGUUCACCAGUUCCUGUGUCCAUGGGUGAAAAGAUUUUCUACAUCUUUCCUUGACUAGAAACAGAAGUCCUGAAACAAGAAUAUAACGUCAGGAGGCCAGAGGCUUUGUCCUGCCUAAUGUGUUAUUUCCACACUGAAUAAAAGCACCUGAGUCCUGGUAAGUCUAAUUUGCUAGGUGUGGCAAUAUGACCAGUGAAAAACAACAAGGGCAGCAUUUCCUGCAGUUCGGUGGCACAGUAUGGUUCAAAGAGGUAUAAAAGGAAGUCACAGGCAUUUUAAAAAGGUUGUACAUCUAGCAAUACCUAACAAAAUAGGAAAUCAACUUGUGUCAUUGCAAGAGCAGUUUAGACAAGGCUACAAAUCUACAAGAUGACAUCAGUUAAUACAGUGAAGACAGCUGGAAAUGCAGAGCAUUCAUACAGGAGGCAAUGUAUUGUAAUGGAGAUUUCCGUUUCAUUUCUCAGCAGAGAGCAGCCACUGUCUUUUGUGUUUGGAUAGACAUAUGGAUAUAAGAAAAAUUAUAGAAUAGGAUAGAAGACAUAGUAAUCUAAUGAGUGUUCUGACUGAAUGUUCUAACCUAUGAAAUUAUCAGUCCAAAACUACAUGUUCAGAACUUACGUGCAACAUUAUCUUGCGUUAUAUUAGUAAGUACAUUAAAGGAAAUAGUGGGAAGAAUAAAAUUAAGAGAAGAAAAAAGGUUUUUUUUUCUUUUUACUUGAAGAGCUUCUUUUCAGGAAUGGUAUGAGUUUUUCCCCAAGCCACCUUAAUUUUAAAGUGGCUAUAAGAACCCAGAGAGUGGUACUAAAAGUAACUAAAAGUCUCUUAAGAGGUACUUGCUUUUCAAAGCUAUUGCUGAGAUUCAUGUAAAUUAAAUGUGUGCAAAGAAAAAUGUGUAGAGAAUUAUUUUAACACUCUUGACUGCUUCCUCCAAUUUGAAUUUGUUGGAUUUCUUUUUACUCUCCCAAAGUCCACUUAAAGAAAGAAAUGUUCAAUAUUAAAUUAAGAAACAUUAAGAGAAAUACAUAUUUC
rnacentral:lncRNA from 1 species